rnacentral:lncRNA from 1 species
AUGAAGUCUAUGAGAAUCUAUUUUAUUGGCACCAGACAUCUGAAUCCCUUCCUUAGUAAUGAUGUCAAGAUUUACCAAGCGUUCCUUCCAUCUGUUUGGUUUUUGGAAUCUAAUAUUCCACUGUUAAGCUUUCGCCUUUCUCACAUUACUCUUCUGAAGAGGCUUUAUGCCAAACACAACUGUUUUAUAAGGGAAGAAAAGGUGGGGUACCCAGGGUUGAAAAAUUUAAUGUGGUAUGCCAAAAAAAAAUUUUGGAAGAUUAUAACUUCCAAGAUUUUUUCAGUUUUUUUAUGUUAUUUUAUUUUUUUGAGACAAAGUAUUGCUCAAUCGCCCAGGCUUAACUACGGUGGUAUGAUUGUGGCUCACUACAAACUCUGCCUCCCAGGUUCAAGUGAUUCUUGUGCCUUGGCCUCUGGAGUGGCUGGGAUUGCAGGCAUGUACCACUCAUACUUGGCUAAUUUUUGUGUUUUGAGUAGAGAUGAGGUUUCACCAUGUUGGCCAGGCUGGUCUUGAACUCCUGACCUUCAGUGUCCCUCCAGUGCUGGGAUUACAGGCGUGAGUCACUGUGCCAGGUCUAGGAUACAUUUUAUUAUUAAAGGCACAUAUGAAUAUAUCUGAAGACAUAACCUAUGCCGAGGAUAAUAAAAUAUAUGCCUAAUUCUUCAAAUAAAAUAUUAUUAAAAUAUCAUAACAGGUGCUAGGAGACAUAUUAAAUGAGUUGAUAUGUUAGAACACAGUCCUCUGAUUUGUUUUUUUUUUUUUUUUUGAGACGGAGUUUUGCUCUUGUUGCCCAGACUGGAGUGCAGUGGCGCAAUCUCAGCUCACUGCAACCUCUGCUUCCCAGGUUCAAGCAAUUCUCCUGCCUCAGCCUCCCAAGUAACUGGAUUACAGGCAUGUGCCACCAUGCCUGGCUAAUUUUUGUAUUUUUAGUAGAGACGGGGUUUCAACAUGUUGGUCAAGCUGGUCUUGAACUCCUGACUUCAGGUAAUCCACCCGCCUUGACCUCCCAAAGUUCUGGUAUUACAAACAUAUAUUAUAUAAAUAUAUAAUACAUGUUUAUAUUUAUAUUAUAAAAUAUACUUUAUAUAUUUUACUGUAUAUAUUUUGUAAAUUACUGACAAAAAUCAUUCAUUUUGAGAAUGAUGAAAAGGGGUAUGGUAUAAAGGAAAAGUCCUGGACUAGGUACCCAUUAAUGUAAACUAUGCAACUUUGGAGAAGUUAAUGUUUCAGAAUUUCUUCUUCUUAUCUAUAAAAUUAGAGGAUUAAAAGUAUCUAGAAAAACCAGGACGUUUCAUAAACAACUAUACAAAUUAUAAUUUGAUUUUUAAAUCAUCAAAGCUGUAAGAUGAAUAUAGAUUGUGUUUUAGUGUGUGUACACAUGCUCGCAGGUGCUUAUUUGAUGAUUACAGUCAGAACUAAAGUAGACCCUAAGGGUCAGCUAUCAGUCAGUUCAGAAUGAAAAUGAAAUAAAGAUUACAAGAAACAUUUUCUGCCUUUCUUAAGUACUAAAAUAUUUAUACUUUAUAGACUGCAUGCUAUAUGGGAAAAUGUAUCUUUUACAUUGUUUUGUAAUAGAUAUCAAGGUGGAAUCACCUUUUAUAAUUAAAAAAACCCAGUAACCCUUGUAUAUUUAAUGUUUAUAAACUUUAGUACAUUGUAAGAAUACUGAAGGCAACUAAAAAUAGAAUGUCAGAUCAUAUUACUUUAAUUUUCAAAAUGAUAUUUUUUAUAAAUUUCCUUUCUGAAAAGACAAUCAUGUUAUUUCUUAAAGAGUAAACUACUAUUCAGUUGCUGAAGGAUAAUCUGUAGGUUUGUUCUUAUCUUUAAAGAACUGUACUCAUCAGAAAGCACUCAACUCACAGCAUGGGCAGCAUUAGCAUGCUGUAACCUGAAUCAAGAAUAAUGGCAUUUGAAUAACUCCCUCUGAUGUGUUCAUAAUGAUUUCCAAAGAAAAAGAAUUUUAGAAAUGACAUGGAGCAAUUUUCUUUCUGUUGAUCUUCAGUUUAAGGUGUAUUUGCUCUGGGCUUAGAAGGAAUUCAGAUUGUGCUCUUUUUCUUCUAUUUUACAUUCUUAAAUCUCUACUUUGGGGACUACUUAAUUGAUUUAAUUUAUUUUCCAAACAAUUCUCUAAUUAAUACACAAUUAUUUUGAUGUUUUAGAAAUUCAAAACAACCAAAAGAAAAAAAAGAAAUUCAAAACAACUCACAUGUUUCAUUUUAACAGGACUUCUUUCUUUGGGGACUAUGACUGACAUUGCUUAAAUGGCACCCAGGCAAUCACAGCAUUCAAGCUUCUAAAUUUAUUCUUUAAAGAAUUUUGAUACUCUAAAUUAGGCACUGUCUGUUCUUCAUGCUUCCUAUUAUCAGCAAGUGUACCCCUUCCCAUACAUAUACACCAAAAAAUAAAUAUCAAUAGAGGGUCAGAUAAAGCUCUGAAAAAUAUUGAUAAACCUGAUUCAACAUCUAUUUGCUCCUUGAUCUUGUGUUGGGGUACGAGUAAGUUCUCCACCAAAACUCAGGCUUUUGUCUUAAUGAAAUACAUAAAUGAUAGAAAAUGCAGCUCACAUAAAAAUCAAAUUGUGAAUGUGUCCCAGUAUUCUACAACAAAUCAAAAUUAUGCUAAUGAAGUAAAGAGCAUUACAGAUUUUUACUGUAUUUUAUUUCUAUUUUCUUUGUGUGCCCUUGCCCUCUCCAUUUUUAGAGUUGUUUAUUGGGGUAAUAGUCAGGGGUGGAGAGUUGUAUCUUUGUGAAGUAGUGUAAGGAAAAUACUUUGAAGUCUGUUAAUUUAUGUAAAAACUUUUUCCUCCCUUUCCUUGCAAAAUCAAAUUACAUCGCCAAUUAAUGUAAGAAACAUAAGAUCUAAGAUUACUCUAAGGAAGAGAAAAAUAAAACACUGCCAAUCGCGGGUUUCCAUAACAUAUACUUCAGAGGAGGCUGAUGAUCAUCUUUGCAUAUCUCACAUUCAGGGAUAUCACCACCAAGACGCUUUUUGGUAUUCUGUGUUCUGUUCUUCAUAAAAAUACCAUGAUACUUCCCAACUGAAGACACCAUUUUUGAGAAAGAAUUUCUCCCUAAAGGAUACUGGCAACUCACAAAAACUAAAUUUUUAUAAGUUUCAUACAAAGAAUUUCAUAAAUAUGUAACCAGCCUGUGGCAUAAGAAAAGCAACCUCUCCAGCAUCCAGAAUGAUCUUUUGUUUUCCUUCCCAUCACUGCCUUCCAUCAACAUCCUGACUUCUAACAGUGUGGAUUAAAUUUGCCAACUCUUGCACUUCAUAUAAAUAGAAUCAAAUUGUGUCAGGGGUCCCCAAGAGUAUACUCCAACUGGAUGAUCUGCUAAGAAAGACUCACAAGAAUCAGAAGCUAAUUAUACACACACUUACAAUUUACUAUACCAAAGAGACACCAAUUAAAAUCAGUAAAGGAAAAGAUCAGAUGGGACAAAGUCCAGGAGAAACCAGAUACACACUUCCAGGUGUUUCCUUCAGUGGAGUUGCAUGGGGCAUACGGAAUCUCACCUGAGCCUUGAUGUCCAGAGUUUCUCCUGGGACCAGUAAUGACAGCAUGACUGACCUUAGCAACUCAGAGAAAAAGCAGGCAUUCACUAUAAGUCAUAUUGUUAGGAUAAAAUUAUCUGGCCACACUGAUACAUUGUGGCCCAAGCCUUCAAUCAUGCAGAAACACUCUUAUCACAAAGAAUAUUUUAAGGGCUCAGAGCUUAUUUCCAGGAGUUGGCCAAGCCAGUCAUGCAGACAAACCUUUGGAAUGUGCAGGGUUUGAGUAACCCAGACCUGCUGCAUUAACCUCUUCUUCUUUGCUCUUAUUGUUUUGGUAUUCCACUGUCUGUGUAUAUUACAAUUUAUUUAUUUAUUUAUUUUUUAAUUAUUAUUAUUUUUUUUUGGUGAAGGAUUUUCGCUCUUGUUACCCAGGCUGGAGUGCAAUGGCGCGAUCUCGGCUCACCGCAACCUCCGCCUCCUGGGUUCAGGCAAUUCUCCUGCCUCAGCCUCCCGAGUAGCUGGGAUUACAGGCACGCACCACCGUGCCCAGCUAAUUUUUUGUAUUUUAAGUAGAGAAGGGGUUUCACCAUGUUGACCGGGAUGGUCUUGAUCUCUUGACCUUGUGAUCCACCCGCCUCGGCCUCCCAAAGUGCUGGGAUUACAGGCUUGAGCCACCACACCCGGCUAUAUUACAAUUUAUUUAUCCAUUCUUCUGUUGAUGGGUAUUUAGUUAGGUUAUCUAUUUAUUUGUUGUGAAUCAUGUUAACAUGAACAUUCUAGUAUGGGGCAUUUUUUGGUUAAAAUGUAUAUGUAUUUCAAUUGAGUGUAUACCUAGCAACAGAUUUGCUAUAUUAUAGAGUAUACAUAUAUUAAUCCUAUGUAAAUACUUCUAAGAGAUUUUCCAAAGUGGCUAUAUUGUUUUAUAUUUGCACACCCAGUGAGCAAACCUUGGUUGUACCACAUCCUCACCAAUAUCUGGAAUUAUCAGUCUUUCAUUUUAGAUAUUUUGUUAGAUAUGUAAUGGCCUUCACACGUUUUCUGGUGCUAUAACAGAAUACCUGAGACUGGAUAAUUUAUAAAGAAGAGAUGGUUUAUUUAGCUUAUGGUUCUGGAGGCAGGGAAGUGCAAGAUUGGGUGGCUGCCUGUGUUGAGGGCCUCACCAUUAUGUCCUAACAUAGUGGAUUGCAUCACAUGGUGGAAAAGUAGAGGGGAAGUGGACUGGCAAAAAUGGCAAAACAUGAGAAGGGGUGGUUUGACAGCUUAUUAUAUUAAAUUUUCAAUUUCCUGCCAUGAAUAUCAUAAAGGU